CCUGUGCUGUGCAACAACAGGUUCUCCAUUCAUAUCCACUCUUGAGCUGCGGCCUUUGAAUCUUUCCAUGUAUGCCACAGAUUUUGAGGAUGGUUUCUACUUAAAGGUAGCCGCAAGAGUAAAUUUUGGAGCUGCAAGUAUUGAAGCCAUAAGGUAAGCUCUCUUAGAAUCUUCAUAUAUGACACUAAAUUUCAUAGUGGAAAUGGAAAUGGAUGGAAAUGAAAAUGAAAAUGACACAUGAAGCAAUCACAGAUAUUAAACAGAGUUUCAGACAAAUCAACUGAUUUUAAAAGCAACUGCCCUGUUGUGAAAACAGUUGAAUGGGAUAAUUACCACAUAUUAGAUACUAGCACGGAAAUUACAUCAAGAUGAUUGUUGUGUCAGGUAUCCCGAUGAUCCAUAUGACCGUAUAUGGAGUUCUGAUCUCGAAAGAAGGCAAAAUUAUCUCGUCGGGGUGGCCCUUGGGACUGAAAGAAUCAAUACAACAAAGAACAUAAUGUCAAACACAAGAGAGUACCCACCAUUAAAAGUAAUGCAAACUGCAGUUGUUGGCACCAAAGGCAGCCUCACUUACAGAUUAAACCUUGAAGAUUUCCCUGCCAAUGCUCGAGCUUACGCAUACUUUGCUGAAAUUGAAGACUUGGGAACUAAUGAAACUCGGAAAUUUAAAAUAGAGAAACCUUACCUGCCUGACUACAACAAUGCCGUGGUCAAUAUCGCUGAGAAUGCCAAUGGAAGCUACACUUUAUACGAACCAAGCUUCAUGAAUGCAACACUUGAUUUUGUAAUGUCAUUCUCUUUCGUUAAGACCCGAGAUUCUACUCAGGGACCACUCCUAAAUGCAAUUGAAAUAAGCAAAUAUGUGCAGAUUGCCGGGAAGACAGCCAUGCAAGAUGGUAAGGCUACUUAUUCUCCAGCUUGAACCAUUCUCUAGAUGAAAUUAUGUGGGUGAAUAAAUUUUCUUUACCUAUAUGAGCUAGUCACUCUUCAUUUCCAAAUGACAGUGAAUAUUCUCAAUGCUCUUCAAGCCAAGUCUACGGACAGUAAUUGGCUGAACGAAGAUGGUGAUCCUUGUGUUCCCACUCCGUGGGAAUGGGUGAGUUGCAGCUCUAACAUACCACCAACAAUCACAAAAAUGUGAGUUCCUUGCACUUUCUCAAUGAAAACUUCUUUGUCCUGUAAGAUUUAUUUUACUAGCACACACAUACAAAUUAAAAAACUAAGCAUUCGUCAGUUUGAAUGGCAGAACAAAAUCUACAAUUCAUGCCACUAUAUCAUAAUUCAUCCACUCGUUCAGUGAGUUUUAUUACUAUCACACAGUUUCCCAAAAUCUAAACUCAACCUUAAACUAUAACACAUAAAAAUGCCUACAUCAAAAAGAAUGAUGUAUGCUAGAAAUAUAGGAACAUUUGACAUUUCUGUUAGAAUAUCAAAUGCCAGAUCCAUUAGAGUAGGAGGUCCACAUUUCAGCAGUUUGUCAGCAUACCACUGGGACAGAAACAUGUCAUUACCUAAAAUAUGCAUAAGAAAUUUUAACGUAAGUGUGCAUAAGAUGGAAAUCACACUCCAAUUGAUAUUUACAGUUCUUUUUAAAUUUUUAUGUGCUCGAGGUAUAUUCCCAGUUUUACUAACAAUUUUGAACAGUGCACUGUCAGGAAAAAAAGUUCAAGGUGAUAUCCCAGCUGAGCUUAAUAACAUGGACGGAUUGAUUGAGUUGUAAGUGCAGUUGAACAAUGAAAAAAAUAAUAAUUUACUUCGUUAACUCCGACCAGAACCUGACUGCUGCUUUUAUUUUAGGUGGUUGGAUGGCAACUCUUUUGAGGGGCCAAUCCCUGAUAUUAGUAACCUCAUCAAUUUGAAAAUUCUGUAAGUUCUUCACUCAUAUUACUUUCAUUUCACUAGUUUACACCGAGAGAAUUCAGAGUUUUUGGUGACUGGUUGGUAUUUUUGGUGAAUAUGCAGGAAUCUAGAGAAUAACAAACUAACUGGUCCAUUACCAUCUUCCCUGGGUAGUUUGCCAAGCUUAAAAGAAUUGUAUGUAGGGAUCUGAACAUCUCCACUUCUAGAUGAUUGAUUUUGAUUAGAUACUUUCUAUAUUCUAACUUAGGACUUGUAAUUCAAAAUAAGGCCUUUCCUGAGCUAGAUAUUUAACUGUGAAGUAAUUUUAUUUUAUUAUCUGCAGGUAUGUACGCAACAACUCUUUGAGUGGGGACAUCCCCCUAGAAUUGUUAACAGGAAAAGUGAUUUUUAAGUGAGUAUUAUUCACGACAGAAAUGUGUACAUGCUUAUUAUCCAUGACUAAACUAGUUUCUUUCUUCAAUGAGAAAAAAAAAACAAAAAACUUAGCUAUGUGUUAUUAUUUCAGAAAAGACAUGAUAUCAAUAAGACUAAACAUAUGUUGAAAUAGACAUUUUGCAAAUCAUUCUAAGCUCCAUCCUUAAUCCCAUGCCCAGUAUUUCAAUCGUAUAGAGUGUAUUGUGUGCAUAAAGGAACAAACACACUAAUAAGAAUGGAAAUAGCCUGCAAAUCUGAUUUGAGAAAAAAAUGUAAUUUGUGAUAUCUAAGGAUGUAACACAUUGUACCAGGUAAAAUAAACAAUAUGUGCAUAUAUUUCUUCAGAAGCAAUGCCUACACGUAACAGAAAAAGAGAACAGUUUGGCGGCAAAACUAAAGCCAUACAAACAAUCAUGACACCAAAAGUAUGAUAAGACAGAGACAGAGAGAGUAUUCAAACAGUCUAGUUAUCAAAAGUAGUAAUAUUCUCUCUUGCAGCUAUGAAGGUAAUCCUGGUCUAAGGCUUGGGACUAAGCAUAAGAGACAUCAAAGAUUAAUUGUUGGAAUUUCCGUUGGAGUACUAGCAAUUCUUCUUGUUCUGUUCAUAGGAAGUUUGCUGCUACUGUGUUACCUUCGGAAAAAGACAUCUUACCAGAGGAGUGAUGACAAAGGUAUGCACUCCAAAUUUCCAUUUUUUUUUUGGAAUAUUCAAUAAUUCUUUUUUGUCCAUCAGGUGAUUCAUUGCGCACUAGCACUAAACGGUCGUCUGCUUAUUCAAUAGCACGAGGUGGGAAUCUAAUGGAUGAAGGAGUUGCAUACCAUAUAACGUUCUCUGAGAUAGAAGAAGCUACCAAAUGCUUUUCAAAGCAAAUUGGCAAAGGAAGUUUUGGACCUGUGUAUUAUGGCAAACUGAAAGAUGGAAAAGAGGUGGCAGUUAAAAUCAUGGCUGAUUCAUCUAGCCAUGGGACCCGACAAUUUGUUACCGAGGUAGCAUAGCUGUGUACAUUCAUGGUUUCUAUAGACUACUGCAUUCUAUUUAAUUGCAUUGAAGUUAGUUUGAAUGUGAAUAUUUUUAAAAUAUACAGUUUCAUUGAAAAUUUAGAUGAAAUCCAUCAACUGCACUUAAACACCUACUACAACUCUAAAGCAUAUCAUUGUUAUCAUAAGUUUCAAUCAUUAAAUAGAAAAGUGUACUUGCAGGUCGCUCUCUUGUCAAGAAUUCAUCACAGAAACUUGGUUCCACUAAUUGGCUAUUGUGAAGAAGAAAACCAAAGUAUGCUCGUUUAUGAAUACAUGCACAACGGAACUUUGCGGGAUCACAUACAUGGUAUUCAUCUAUAAACCUACCAUAAUUCUGUCUAGUCAUUAGUACAGAGUCAAAGAAAAAUUAAUGACAUAAAAUUUGAUGACAGAUUAUUGCAAUCAGAAGCACUUGGACUGGCAAGCUCGUCUUUAUAUUGCAGAAGAUGCAGCUAAAGGUUUAUACCUGAUUUCUCUGUUGUUCAUGUAGCUAUAAAUUUUAAGAUCAAGAGAGUAGCUGAAACUUGAUCUUUUUAGGCCUUGAAUACUUACACUCUGGAUGCAACCCAAGUAUCAUUCACCGCGAUGUAAAAACAAGCAAUAUUCUCCUAGAUAUCAAUAUGAGGGCAAAAGUAUCUGAUUUUGGACUUUCAAGGCAAACUGAAGAAGAUCUAACCCAUAUAUCAAGUGUGGCUCGAGGAACUGUUGGCUACCUUGAUCCUGGGUAAGCCAUAUCAUGUGAUCUCAUACACUCAUCUGUUCCCUUAUGCCUAGCUUGACUGAGUAUAUCUCUACAACAGGUACUUUGCAAAUCAGCAAUUAACUGAAAAAAGUGAUAUUUAUAGUUUUGGGGUCGUUCUUUUAGAACUGGUCUCAGGAAGAAAGCCUGUGUCAACAGAAGAUUAUGGCACUGAAUGGAAUAUUGUUCACUGGGUAAGCAUGCUACCAUUUCUUUAUUCAUAAUUUUCAACAUUUGGUAACUUUUCCUAAAGCUAAAAUAAAUCCCGAUAGCCAAAAAAAUAUAUGAGAGAUGCAUAAGUCUAUUAAAGACCAUAAUCUGGUUUAUUAAAGACCAUGCCAGGCAAUAUAGCAAAACGUCUAGAAGGUAAGAUGUAUACAGCUUAGGCAAGAAUUAUAGGAUAGGGGUUUGUUUAAAUUAGAAAAAAAAUGAUCCUACAAGAUGGUUUAUUCAAGCUCUAAGAGGUAGCUUAUAUGAUAAAUAACAUCACAAUAUGUAUUCAUGGGAGACUAUUGGUUAUAUUAUCCUUGCUCUACUAGGCACUAGGUAUACUAUAUAGUUAAGGUGUAAUGUAGGUGAGUGGGUGAUUGCUUGUGUCUCUGUCUGGACACAGAAAGUGAAUGGCAAUGCCAAACUAAGAUAGUAUAGUGCAACAGGCAGACUACAACACUAAAAUAAUUGAAAAUGUAAAACUUAUCUAGUAAACCAUAUGCCUGCUAGAAUGUUUUUUAUAUUGGUUCUCAUAAUGACUAAAUCCCAUGAACUAUGAAUUUACAUCAAAAUCCAAAACAUUAAGAUUUACUGUACCUACACAAAACAUUAAUAGUAAAAAUAAUAAUAAUUAAUAAUUCCACCGAGAUCGGAGGGGAUACAUAUUCUUCUAAAAUGAUUAAUGUGCUUCAAUACUAGCUUAAACAGUAAGCAAAUUACAAAACAAAAUAUUAUAAAUCAAAUAUGAUAGCCAUGAAUAAUUUUUUCACACUCUUGAGUUACAUGCUGAUAAAUCAUCAUUUUAUAAUUUGCAGGCAAAGUCAUUGAUUCGUAAAGGAGAUGUGAUAAGCAUCAUAGAUCCUUCACUAGCAGAAAAGGUCAAAAUUGAAUCUGUAUGGAGGAUUGCAGAAGUCGCAAUCCAAUGUGUCGAACAACACGGAGCUUCGAGACCUAGGAUGCAGGAAAUUAUUUUGGCUAUACAGGAUGCAAUCAAGAUUGAAAAAGGGUGUGAUAAAAUAACUUCAGGAAGCGCAAAAUCACGAUCUUCCCGCAGAACACUACUAACGAGCUUUCUUGAUAUUGAAAGCCCCGACUUAUCUAAUCCAUCGCUAGUCCCAUCCGCUAGAUAACCAUCUAGUUCACCUCAUUUUACACUUUUUUAGUAAGAUUAUAAUUAGUAUACAUUGUUGUCUUUUUCUUUUUCUUCUUCUUCAAUUUCUUUUUGCUGAGAGUUGUUACACUUCUAGCUGAAAUUCCUGUACCACGUCAUUAAACUUCGGGCUUGUUAGUGGCUUUAGCUUAUUUGGUACAUUUGGAAUGCACCAUUUUAGACCCCAAACAAUGCGUUUCUAAGUUAAAUAAGCUGCAUUUGGAAAUUGUCUUUGUAAACUGAACAAGAUUUUCAGGUGCUCUUGGCCUCCAAAACCCAAACCAAAUAUGCACUUAAAACAAAUUUGACUUCCAAUUAAGUUAAAUCUUUUCAUGUGUAUACUUGUAUUUAUUGAGGAUAUAUUAAAUUUUGGAAUUUGACAGAUAUUUCGAACAAAAAUUGACAAAUGAAGCUUCAUGGUUAAAAUUAAAAUGCAGAAAAUUUGCAUACCGGUGCAAAUUAUGUAGGCGUGUAUAUAUAUAUAAAGGCAACAAUGAGUUAGUGAGAAAGGAAAUGUGCUAUGAAGAUCGAGUAACAAAGCUUACAGAUGAGGAAUAGGAGGAAUUCACCUUUGCCGGCACAAAUCUUACGCCCUUUCCUUUCUUUCGCCGGAGACUGGAGUACUUGCCUUCGUUUCUUUUAUUUUCUAUCCUCUCGUCUCAAUUGCUUAAUUUUUUUUUCAAGUUGCAGUGAUAAUCUCAUAGUAAUAAUUAUGCAACGACAAGUAUUCGAAAAUUUAAAAUAUUAGAAUAUUAGAAUACAUUUAAAAAUAUUAUUAAAAAUAUUUAUUUUGAUAGUAUAAAUAUUAUUUUGUAAAAGUCAACUUUCAAAAUUAAUGUAAAAUCAUAUUAUUUUAUUUUUUUAAGUAAUAAAAAAAAAGAUCACAUUACAUUAUAUAUUACAAUUCAUAUAUACUAUCUAUACUCCUACUAUAAUGUAAAAUGACAACUACCAAAAUUUUAAAUUAUGUUUGUGCCUUACACGCGGGUUAUCAAUCUAAUCUUGUAAAAGAGGGAUAUAUUUGAAUAUUAANN
rnacentral:lncRNA from 1 species